CCUACGGGUGGCAGCAGUGAGGAAUAUUGGUCAAUGGACGAGAGUCUGAACCAGCCAAGUAGCGUGAAGGACGACUGCCCUAUGGGUUGUAAACUUCUUUUAUAUGGGAAUAAAAUGUUCCACGUGUGGGCUUUUGUAUGUACCAUAUGAAUAAGGAUCGGCUAACUCCGUGCCAGCAGCCGCGGUAAUACGGAGGAUCCGAGCGUUAUCCGGAUUUAUUGGGUUUAAAGGGAGCGUAGGUGGAUUGUUAAGUCAGUUGUGAAAGUUUGCGGCUCAACCGUAAAAUUGCAGUUGAAACUGGCAGUCUUGAGUACAGUAGAGGUAGGCGGAAUGCGUGGUGUAGCGGUGAAAUGCUUAGAGAUCACGAAGAACUCCGAUUGCGAAGGCAGCUCACUGAACUGCAACUGACACUGAGGCUCGAAAGUGUGGGUAUCAAACAGGAUUAGAUACCCGUGUAGUC
rnacentral:rRNA from 1 species